GUCAAUUUUUCUUUACUAUUUUUAAAAUUCUGAUUAGUUUAAACAUCGAAGGAUUCUCCAUUAGAAAAUCUCUGAUAAUUAAAUUCUUUUUGCAAAAUCUGAAAGCAUUCUCAAAUCUUCGGAUCUCCGUUGACUAUCUACUCCUAUUUUGGACACCCAUCAAACCUACCUAUUUCUUUUCUGAUCAAAGCCUUGCAGUAACAUUUAAUAAAUAGAUUAUUGGUUGGGUUGGAUUAUCCAUUGAGGGGAUUUAUAUUUAAAUUUUUGAAUGUUUUAACCAAUAAAUCAGAUUCGGAUUGGUGAAUUUUUUGACAUUAGAUCCGCAACCUUGUCAGCUCUAUCCAUGACAAUAAAACGCUGUGAUUGGCGCAGUGUGCAGCCACGAGGUUGUGAUCCACGGCCUC
rnacentral:lncRNA from 1 species